rnacentral:pre_miRNA from 1 species
AAUAUACUCCCUCGGUCUAAAAUAACUUGUCAUAGAAAUAAAUGUUUUUAGACGUAUUUUAGUUCUGAAUACAUUCACUUUUUUUAUUUUGACGAUAAGUAAUUUCGGACGAAGGGAGUAGAUA